UUGUCUUUCUGUCUUUCCUUUUUUUUUUUUUUUUUUUUUUUUUUUCUCAUUGUUGUGCUUAUUUUAAUGUCUGCUGCCUGUCCUCAGCGCCAAAGGAAACUGUGAUCCAUAAUUCCUGGUGCUGCCCAGCCUGCAGUAAAACUGCUCAGUGUGAAACGUAAUAUGCAAAAAGUUCUUUUCUCUCUCUCUCUUUUUUUUUUUUAUAUUUUUUUAUUUUUUUAUAUUUUUGGCAAGCUCUGGAAAAAGGCUUGUUUCCUGGCAGGAGAAAAAGCCAGCCUUGGCUUCAAGCAGCCACUGACAAUUCCCAGCAUAUGGUAAGAGAGGGAGCUUCCGCCUACCCCAUCAGAGGAGAUCAGACUAAAGGCCCCAAGUUCCAGCUUCCAGCAUCUGAAAGAAGCUAGGUCAGGAUUUUACAAAAAGGACCAAGAAAUCAAUUUUGUUAACCAUUGACAAGGACCUUACAGACAGGAAAGUUUCUUUCACAGCCUUACAUUCCUGCUCAACUUGGCCCUUGGAAGUAUUGAUGGGAAUCCCAAAUAGAAGGAAUUUACCUGCUGCUAAUUUGGGUACCACAGGGCUUAGCCUGUGGUAUAUAUAUCUGAAAGCUACUAUUAGAAGACAUUUUGGAAGACACGAAACCUAUAUACUUCAGAUAAGAAGCCUAAUAACUUGGGGCACAGACCAACUGAAAAUCAAUUCCACAUGUUUGAGGCUUCUGUACUCUAGCUGAUAAGGCAGAACCUGGAGUUUCAACACAAAAGUUGUAAUAACCAUUGACAGCAAUACAGAGACUGUGAUUAUGUAAAUGAUGCAGUAAACUUGUAUGAACAUAACUGUAGCAAUGAAAUACUUUACACUAAUUUUUGAGGACAUUUAUAUAUUGGUGCUUGCACAAGAUGUGGGCUAUAAGGCCACUAUCCCUUCAACACUAGACUGAGAUGUUUUCAGUUGAUGACCAUUCACUGUUAUUAUUAUACUUGUAAAUCACAGCCUGUCUUCAUCCCUGCAGAUCAAAAAGAGAGUAAUUUCUAUUCUAUAGGGGAUUACUUGUACUACUUGUCUCCUAGAUCUACUCUAUGAUCUAUGGAGUGCAUUUCUGUCUGGAAUUAUUUUUUUCUGCUUGGGAGUUAUAUUUUUCCUAUGAAUCAUGAAGGGACUUCUGAGAUCUUGCAAAGACCAGUGAAAGAUCUAACUCUUGCUCACUUUGAGGUACUUAAAUGAAGCAUCUGAGCCUGGAGUCCUGGCUGUAUGACAGAGGGACAAUACCAGGUGAGAACCAGUUCUGAAUUUCAUCAUGAGAAUUUCAUUCAUUUUCUGGAUGUGUUCAUCUUUCUCCCUUAGCUCAGAGGACCCAGGCCUAGCAGAUUCCCAUGCUCUUCAGUCUAUAGCCUUGGGUUAGAUUAAAUGAGUCCAUACUUAUGAUCAGCAGAGUUCCAAAAAGAAAAAUAGAAAAAAACAAACCCAAACAAACAAAAAACACACCACCACCACCAACAACAAAGAAAAACAAACAAAUAAACAAAAAAAACACAAAACAAAACAAAAACAAAAUGAUACUAUAAUAUCUCAGUAGAACAGUGAAGAAGUAAAGGAGAAAAAAGGGACAUCUGUCUCAGUAUUUCUCAGAGGAAAAGUGCAGCUCACUGGGUAUUUUCAUUCUCUGACUGCUCCCUCUGCUGCCUGUGAGGUGGCUGGAGGGGAGCCAACAAGCCGCACGGCCCCUGCAUGGCUGCCCAGGUGGGCUCUGCAUCCCUCUUCCUCACCCUGCUCUCAGCAUUAGAGAUGCCGACAGUUACUAGAUAAAGUUAAAGACUCAUGUAGUGAUCUUCACACUAAUUGGACUGUAAUGUAUAGCCUCGGUCAAGCAAAUCUCUCCCAGCACUCCUCUCCACAGACGGCAAUCAAGCCAUUUACAGAAGAUGCAUCGGCUGCUGGGACCCUGGAGUAACCUUAAACUGCACUGGCCUUUUAGCAGAAAACACAAUUAAUUUUGAUACUGAAGGGCAAUUAGGACUGGGGUUAAAAUAAAAAAUCUUCUGAACAGAGAAUGUCAAAGACUGGUAAGGAAACUAUUUCCCUUGUACACAGCGCAUUGAAGGUCUGUAAGCACAGCAACUGUCAGCUCAUGUUAAUUCAGAUCACUUUGUAACCCCCCCCUCCAUUUCGAUGGGAGAUAUGUAAAUUUAAAUUAAUAAGCACUGUGCUCAAACCCCACUAAGACUGAUAGGUAUUUUAGUUAAGUCUUUGCUGCUGGAAUAAGCACAGCUUCUCAUACUUUGCUGGGGAAACCUGUUUUACAUCUCAGAAUUUAGUGAAACGACCAAAUGCAUUUAUUUUGUUCUGUUUCAUUUCCAAAAGAAAAUGGUCUCCCAGCUGACACUCUGCAGAUCACAGCUUAGAGCAAAUCAUGUCAGCAACUCUAUAAACUUCUCUUUAGAAGCACAGAAGAUGUUCACAGUAAUACAUAUCUACAUGCACCCACAUGUCCUAACAUAUGUGCAAGGCAGCCAAAAUUUUGACCUCACCUGUGCAAACUGCUUAGGUCUCUGUCACUCUCCAUAACUCAAGUAAAUGCAGCAGACUUGUUGGUUGUGAUUUUUAUCAGCAUUUUUUCCUCCCACAGCAAUCACUUAACACUCAGUGAAGCCAGUGAGUGUCAUUGGCACAACUGAAGUACAGUUGCUUAUCUCUAAGGACAGUGAUAUUCACCGUGGAAAUUUUCAAUACACAUUUUGUUUAAGAACUAGAGAUAAAAGAUGAAUGCUCAGGAAUCAUAUGUGAAAUCCUGAUCCAGCAACAUUCAGAUUAGGCAAAGAUCUUUAGGCAAAGAUUUCAGAAGCAUCAGCCAAUAAUUGUUACUGAAGAUAUUUCUGGGGACAAAUAUUGAGUGAAGCUAGGCAUUUUCUCAAACUGUACAUGAGUAUUUGUCACUGACAGCCCAAGAAAAAGUGGACAUCUUCAAUACAAAUAAUCUCAAUAAAGUCACGCUUCUGGCUAGUGUAUGAGAAAGCAAUGAGGGACAUUUUAGGGUGCUCCCAAUGGAUAGGAUAUUUGUGAAUCUUUUUCUCAAAACACCCCCUGAACAAGCAGAUUUACACAGUGUACACUAAGGAGUUUUACCCCCCAGAUGGUACCCGUGCAACAAGGCCAGCACAACUCUUGCAACAAUUCUGCCAUGGUCAGUGACUCCCAAAUUCUGAUCUUAAAAUUGCUGAUGUUUGAUCCUCUUUGAAUGCAGGCCUAAGCCUACUGGUCUGGAAAAAUGAGAUCUGGACUCCUGAGGAGGGAAAUGUGUAGGGGAAAGUCCAUGACACCAGAGAGGAAACUGUAAAGAUGCUGCAGUCUUUCUUAGAGAUGAAUUCAUAGAAAACUGGGGCCAGGUGAGGUGCUGUCCUCCUCCUUACACUGCCAGUGACAUUGCUGCAGGCACUGUCAUCAGAUGAGAUAAUUUCAGUUAAAAUGAGAGAGAAAAGAUGUUAGCUAGGGGCUUGACUUUGAAAAUCUCUUUCUGCUUUGGUCCAGGGCUGCUCAUACCUGUUAGCUUCCCAGGCUUGGUAGAGGAACUUAAUUUCUCCCUGACCUACAGAGAACAAGCAGAUGUCUGAGGCAAGGGUCCACCAUGAUAGUCGUGGUGGGGUUUACUACAUUUUGGUUCAAUUCCUGUUGCCAUCAGUGGGUAACUUCCAGAGACUGUUUACACAUGAAUUACCUUUUUAAGAGUUUGUCAGAGAGCCCAAAGCUCAUGUCAAGUUUGUUUGUUUGUUUGUUUGUUUGGAGCAGUCUGAACAAAUCUCAGUCUUUAAUAUCAAAGGGAAUAUUUCCAGGUAUGCAGGCACAUAGUAGUUGGAAAGAGAUGGAGGAGGGUGAGAGUAGCCUUUACAUAGCUAGAAAAAUAUCAAGAUGCUAUUUCCCUCGAUGCUAUUGAAAAGACUCAUUUUUCUUUGUCUUUCCAGGUUCUCUUUUCCAUUUACAAGGCUCUCCAAUCUGCAGUGAACUGUUUUCUCAUCUGAGACUCGGGCAGCCAUCCCACAAGCUGUACUUGGGAAACCACUAACUGAUGUUAGAUUUACACAGUGGAUAGUUUUUAUAUAUGUUUUUCUUAAAAGCAGCAUCCUAGGGGAAUCUCUCCGUGGCAAAAACAGCACAAGAAGCACUACCAGCCAAUAGAGCAUCUGAGGAGUUCACAGGGUUAAAACUAUUGUUUUCAGGGAUUGAUUCAAUCUCUGCUUUGUCAACCUGUUUAAGUUCCAGGGCCCCAUUCUGACCAGCUACAACGAAGGGUGAAGAGCCCAGAGUAAACUCAUUUGGGCCUUUUAAGUACAACAUGAUUCAUACUUGUGUGCAGCCUCUGUCAUGGGUUGUGCGCAGCCCACUGCCAGAAACCAUGUCACCCUCUCAAUCUUGUGCUGGAGGGGGCAGGUGGACAAGAUAACUUAAUAGCUCUUAUUCAUUUGGAAUUUCUGUGGUUAUGGGGUAGGUCACCUUGUUCAGUGAGAGAGGGAAAGCAUGUAAAUCUUCAGCCCAAACUCAAGCUCCAGUGUAAGCAACUUUCAGAGAAGCUGAAUUUAUAUUUCUUCUCUUGUUAUCUUGUAAUUUCUUGGGGCAUCCCUUUACAGAAUAGUGAUGCAAGGGCCCCAGGAGUAAUGAAAAUAAACAUAAAAAUAAUCCACUGUGUUCACAUGCGUGGCAUGAAAGUGAAAAUUCCCACCAGUGACUUGAGUGAGGGACAUGAGCAGAUUUGGUCUCUGCAAAGCACAUGGCUCAAUGCUGGAACCAGCCUUAACAUAGGUUCCCGCAUUCGUACACAGUAGGGUGGGAAUGCAGAGCACAUCCCAAUUCCCCACAUGUGUGGGUCUGACCCAACCCUGCUGUGCCAACCUGCAACAAAUCAUGCAAUCACACUGCUGGGUCAGUGCAGUUUGCGGUAAAGUCUGACAACUUGCAAGGAUAAGAUCUUCCUGGGUGUAUUAUCAUUUCCUUUUCUAGAGAAACACGGAGUUAGAAAUAUGAGACUGGAUGAGAGUAACCAAACAACUGCAUUUGAAAAUGGCCAGCAUCAAGCCCUAUAAAGACAUCAAGAACCAGGUGAAUCUAAUGGCUUGCAGUACCUCCUCCUAACAUUCAAAAUUUAGAAGUGGUUUUAUGUCCUGAAGCAUGUGGGCUUUUAAAGAGACCAAAAUAUUAUUUUAAUUGAUUUUUUUUCACAGUCCUUAUGGUGAUGCCUAGUCAUUCUUCUUGCCUAUACUAACAUCAUCAUGUAGUUACAAGGAAAAAGAGAGAAACAAGUGCAAAACAGCCCCAUAUUUUGGAGGAUCAAUUUUCCUUGAAUAAAUGACAGUGCUAAAGGAAAUAAAUAAAUAAAUAAAUAAAAGAGAAAAAAAAAGUU